CCCUUAGAUGUCCUGGGCCGCACGCGCGUUACACUGAUGCAUUCAACGAGCUUAUAACCUUGGCCGAGAGGCCUGGGCAAUCUUGUUAACGUGCAUCGUGAUAGGGAUAGAUUAUUGAAAUUAUUAAUCUUGAACGAGGAAUUCCUAGUAAACGCAGAUCAUCAAUCUGCAUUGAUUACGUCCCUGCCCUUUGUACACACCGCCCGUCGCACCUACCGAUUGGAUGGUCCGGUGAAGCCUCGGGAUUGUGGUUCUUUCAGCUUUAUUGUGGCGUGACCGCGAGAACUUGUCUAAACCUUAUCAUCUAGAGGAAGGUGAAGUCGUAACA
rnacentral:rRNA from 1 species